CCUACGGGAGGCAGCAGUGAGGAAUAUUGGUCAAUGGUCGGGAGACUGAACCAGCCAAGCCGCGUGAGGGAUGAAGGUACAGAGUAUCGUAAACCUCUUUUGUCAGGGAACAAAGGCGGGGACGUGUCCCCGGAUGAGUGUACCUGAAGAAAAAGCAUCGGCUAACUCCGUGCCAGCAGCCGCGGUAAUACGGAGGAUGCGAGCGUUAUCCGGAUUUAUUGGGUUUAAAGGGUGCGCAGGCGGUCUGUUAAGUCAGCGGUCAAAGCCCGGGGCUCAACCCCGGCCCGCCGUUGAAACUGGCAGUCGCGAGUUGGAGAGAAGUAGGCGGAAUGCGCGGUGUAGCGGUGAAAUGCAUAGAUAUCGCGCAGAACUCCGAUUGCGAAGGCAGCAUGCCGGCUCCACACUGACGCUGAGGCACGAAAGCGUGGGUAUCGAACAGGAUUAGAUACCCUGGUAGUC
rnacentral:rRNA from 1 species